UGAUUGGAUCACACUUGUCGUC
rnacentral:siRNA from 1 species